GAUUCAGUAUCGAAUGUUCCUCCGUGGGAGUCCAAUUAAUUCGUUAAUCUCCAUCCAACAAUUAUUUUUUAUUAAUUAAAUUAUGUUAUUUGUUUUCGUGUUGAUUAGCAUUUUUGCGGGGCACGUUUCAGGUGGAAGAGUCAUAAAAAUAAAUGAUAAUCAACGAGGUAUGACAGAUCUUCGGAGUGAAGCUACGGAAGAACUGCCUCGUGACGAGCUCGUGGAAAUUUUGCACAAAGGGCAAUUCUUUCAGGACAUAAUUUCGCAACACGUUGCACCCCUCGAGUUCCACUUCGGGCACGUCUUCGAGAAUCCUAACGAGUGGGAGCAAAGAUUCGAAAAGACUGAUGUCGAAAAUAAUCAGUUUCAAGGAAAAGUUCGAUGGGGUACGAAGAAUGGAGAUUACGGCGAACAUUAUUGGGACCUCAAUCACUAGAAAAUUAUUUUAAAAUGAAUCUUUGAAUUUAUGGGAGGGUAAAAAGAGGGGAAUAAAUACAUAAUCAACAGUCGUUUGUCAAAAAAGAAUUCGAAUAAAAAAAGAAAAAUUAUUAAAUCGAGCCAGUCAAAUGUUACUCGCCAUGUUUCCCUGAUCCAAAAUCCUGUGAUUUUUUUCACUUUCUCUGGCAAAAUUAUGAAAUGUGAUAAAGGCCCGAAAAUGAGCGAAGACGAGGCAGCGUGCAGCGGAAAGUUAGGAAAUGAGCCGCCGAAACCCGAGUUGGAUGGUCUCGUGAUUGGCGAGGAUUUAGCCAAGCGGCUGCAAACAGGCAAUUUUCGUUUCAAUUAUCCGGCCCCUUGAUUUCAACGUCUGGGACAACUAAAAAUUACGUUCCAGGUGAUAAACUGCAUGCAGUCCUUCAAGGAUAGAGCACUGGCCUGCAGCACUGACGUUCAAGAUUUCAUCGGAACUGUCGAUAAACUCC